rnacentral:tRNA from 1 species
GUCUUCGUAGCUCAGUUGGUCGAGAGCGUCCGACUGUUACUGUACAGUCGCCAUCGGGAGGUCGACAGUUCGAACCUGUCCGAGGACG